rnacentral:rRNA from 1 species
UACGGAGGGGGCUAGCGUUGUUCGGAAUUACUGGGCGUAAAGCGCGCGUAGGCGGCUUUGUAAGUUAGAGGUGAAAGCCCGGAGCUCAACUCCGGAAUUGCCUUUAAGACUGCAUCGCUAGAAUCAUGGAGAGGUGAGUGGAAUUCCGAGUGUAGAGGUGAAAUUCGUAGAUAUUCGGAAGAACACCAGUGGCGAAGGCGACUCACUGGACAUGUAUUGACGCUGAGGUGCGAAAGCUAGGGUAGCAAACGGG